CUGCAUUAAAACACAACUGUGCAACUAAUUUGCUGAACAAAAUCGUUUUUCCUCCUCGCUCUUUGGUUUUAGGCCAGGAUUGUCUACAAUAAAUGCAGUAGAAACUCUUGUGACAGUCAUACUUGACGGCUUCGAGAACAAAUCCAUCACUUGUGCUGUACUACUAGAUCUGAGUAAAGCAUUUGAUACUGUCUCCCAUGAAAUACUAAUAAAUAAACUAGAGCGCUAUGGUGUCAAAAUAACGAACUGGCAUUAAUCAGAUCAUACCUGACAAACGGAACUCAGGUAGUUAUAGUAAAUAGCCAGCAAUCAAAUGCUGUAAGUAGCUCAGUACUUGGACCUUUUCUCUUCAUGGUAUACACGAAUGACUUGCCUACUUUCAUGCUUCACAAGUCAAUAAUAUAUGCUGACGACACAACCCUGAUAACCUCAGAUAACAAAUUGGAGGAAGUGAAGAAACAAACAAAAGUAAUGCUUGAAAAGUCUGCCAUAUGGCUCCACAGUAACAAGCUGAUACUCAACAGUAGCAAGACUGAAACUAUGUAUUUCUUCUUGCACAAUCUACAGGAAAAAUUAAAUGAGUCUGACUCUGUAAGACUUCUAGAAAUGACCUGGACCUGAAAUUAACAUGGAACACCCACACGGAACUGUACGGAAUAAAAUUAUGGGGCAACUCAACUGGUGCUCAGACAGUGUUCAUGUGGCAGAAUAAAGCAGUUAGAGCAAUUACAGGUAUUAAAAGCCAAGAAUCAUGUCGAAAGCACUUUAAGGAACUUAACAUCUUAACAUUAUCUUCUCUGUAUAUAAAAACGUGUCCUCUUUCCAUAAAAAAACAAAUACAUACCUUACCUACCAGAACAGAUGUUCAUUCACAUGAUACCAGACAUAAAAACAAUCUUGAUGUAGACUUUACUAGGCUGUCUAAGGUCCAAAGUAGCUUUAAGCAAACAGUAUUAAAAUUAUAUAAUAAAUUACCACAACCACUGAAAGACCUACAAGGUGAUGCCUUCAAGAAGCAGCUGCACAAAUUGUUAGCUGAUAAGUGUAUCUAUGAUGUAAAUGAAUUGGAAUGUAGUAGAGAGUAACUAUGAUGUUAAGGAAUUAUAAUGUAGAGAAUAACUCUUUACCCUCAUGUAAUGUAAUCUGAAUGUACAUAGUUUCCCAAUUUUAGAGUCACUAUCAAAUGUAAUGUCAAAACUGUCUACUUCAACAAAUGUUGGCUAAUGACAAGUAAGAAUAAAUAAAUAAAUAUGAGUCUCUA